AUGAUUAAGCUUUGUUCUUUUCUAGCUCUCAUUUAUGAACUUGCUUGUGCUGACCCUCUUAAUGAUCCUCCUGAUGAGCUUUGUUCAAGCACUACUAAUUACACGGCGGGUAGUCGUUUUGAAAAUAACCUCAAAGAUCUCUUCCUUUCUUUAUCUUCAAAUUCUUCUUUUACUAGGUUCUACAACACUUCUUCUGGAAACGACCCAGAUAGAGUUUAUGGACUGUAUAUGUGCUUCAACUACGUAAAUGGAAACGACUGCCAGAGCUGUGUAAGCCUUGCAACAACAGAUAUUGUGAAGCUCUGUCCAAACAGUAAGGAAGCAUUUGUAGGGGAGGAACUUUGCCAAUUUCGCUACUCAAAUCAAAAUUUCUUUGGCCAAUUGAAUGUUACAGGAAACAUUCCCAAACAAAAUGAAGUGAACAUUUCAGAGCCACAAUUGUUCAAAGGUGUUGUAAACAAUGUAUUGAGUAACCUUGCGAAAAAGGCAGCUUUUGAUCCUAACAUGUAUGCUACUCGAGAAGAACCCUUUAAAGAUGAUACAAUCUAUGCUCUAGUGCAGUGCAGUACUGACUUGUCUGCAAAUCAAUGUAACUCAUGCCUACAGAAGGCUAUAUCAGAUAUUCAAACAUGCUGCUUUUUCUCUGUUGGUGCAAGACUUUUUAGUCGUAGUUGCUAUUUGCGCUAUGAGUUCUACAACUUCUAUCAAGUUCUACCUUCUUCCACAGAUAAUAUGAAUGGGGAAAGUAGUGUAAGGAAAAUAUGGAUGAUCAUAAUCUUGACGGUUGUACCAGUAUGCCUUGUGGUAGUACUGAUUGCUUUCGUUUACUGGCUUGCAAUGAAUAAAAAAAGCAAAAAAAGGAAGAAUGAAAUUGCAACUCAAGGACCUAUUUUUCGUACCGUUCAUGGCCAACAUAACACUGACUUUCAGCACCAAAAUUUUCAAGGAAGAAAUGAACAGCAAGAUCAAGAACUCCCUUACUUUGAUUUUGCAUCCGUAAGUGCAGCUACUGACAACUUCAGUGAUUCAAAUAAGCUAGGAGAAGGGGCUUUGGCACUGUUUACAAGGGUAUACUGAGUAAUGGAAAGCAAGUAGCAGUGAAAAGGCUUUCCGGUUGUUCUGAACAAGGUUCAUCGGAAUUCACCACUGAAGUUCUGCUCAUUAUGAAAGUUCAACACAAAAAUCUUGUCAGGCUUUUAGGUUUCUGCAUAGAAAGGGAGGAAAAGCUGCUUAUCUAUGAAUACAUGCCGAAUAGCAGCCUAGAUUUCUCUCUCUUUGAUGCAAAUAGACGAGAGCAACUCAAUUGGAGCAGACGAAUUAAUAUCAUAAAUGGAAUUGCUCGGGGAUUACUUUAUCUUCACGAAGAUUCUCGACUUAGAAUAAUUCAUAGGGACCUAAAACCUAGCAAUGUGUUGUUGGAUAAUGACAUGAACCCAAAGAUUUCAGAUUUUGGGAUGGCAAGAAUCAUUGAAGGAAAUGAACAUGAAGCUAAUACUGCUAAAAUAGUUGGGACUUAUGGAUACAUGGCUCCAGAGUAUGCUAUGGAAGGAUUAUAUUCCAUAAAGUCUGAUGUUUAUAGCUUUGGAGUUCUCUUGCUUGAGAUCAUAACUGGGAUAAGGAAUGCUGGCUUCCAUCAAUCGAAACGUGCUCCCAGCCUCCUAGCAUAUGCAUGGAAAUUAUGGAAUGAAGGAAAAGGAUUGGAGUUGAUGGAUCCUUUGUUGACUAAUUCAUUUUCUUCAGAUGAAUUUUUGAGAUACAUUCAUAUUGGUUUACUAUGUGUUCAAGAAGAUGCAUAUUACAGGCCAACAAUGUUCUCUGUUGUCCAAAUGCUUAAAGCUCAAACUAUGACACUCUGUCGACCUGAACGACCUGCUUUCUCUGUGGGGAGAUUCACAGAUCACUAUGAAACAAAUCCUAACAGCUGUUCAGUCAAUGGCUUAACAAGUUCAGGUGUUUUGCCUCGAUGAUGGAGAUGAGGGAUCGGUUUGAUAUCUCACAAUGCCGACAUUUGUUUUGUGUGUUUCCAGACUGGUCAUGACAUUGAAGACCGUACAAACUCAAGGUUAUACCUUAAGUUUAUGGGGGCAUUAGAGAUAAUAUGGCCUUAGAAGCCCAAAACUGUUAUAGGCCCAUUUACUUGUAGAAGAAAGCAAACUAAUUCGAGUGUUAGUCUACAAUUAUCUAGUAUAUAAACCCUAUGUUUGAUCAUU